AACCCUGUGAACUGAAACAUUUUAGUAGCAUGGGGAAGAGAAAAUUAAAUAAUGAUUUCUUUAGUAGCGGCGAGCGAACGAGAAAGAGCCCAAACCCUUUUAUAUGGGGUUUGUAGGACGAUUUACAUAGAGUUACAAAACUUAAUAAUUAGCAGAAACUUUUGGGAAGAAGUGGCAUAGAGGGUGAUACCCCCGUAAGCGAAAUUGUUAAGUCUCUUGAUCGUAUCCUGAGUAGGGCGGGGCACGUGAAACCCUGUCUGAAUCUGCCGGGACCACCCGGUAAGGCUAAAUACUAACCAGACACCGAUAGUGAACUAGUACCGUGAGGGAAAGGUGAAAAGAACCCCGAGAGGGGAGUGAAAUAGAUUCUGAAACCGCUUACUUACAAUUAGUCAGAGCCCGUUAAUGGGUGAUGGCGUACAUCUUGCAGUAUGGACCGGCGAGUUACGUUAGCAUGCGAGGUUAAGCGGAUAAAAGCGGAGCCGUAGAGAAAUCGAGUCUUAAUAGGGCAAAUAGUAUGUUGGCGUACACCCGAAACCAGGUGAUCUAUUCAUGAGCAGGCUGAAGCUUGGGUAACCACUAAGUGGAGGGCCGAACCGUAGUACGCUUAAAAGUGCCCGGAUGACUUGUGAAUAGCGGAGAAAUUCCAAUCGAACUUGGAGAUAGCUGGUUCUCCUCGAAAUAGCUUUAGGGCUAGCGUGUGAUGUUAAGUAGUGGUGGUAAAGCACUGAAUAUGGAAUGGCGGCGCCUAGCUGUACUGACUAUAAUCAAACUCUGAAUACCAUUAUGUAUUAUCAUGCAGUCGGAACCGGGGUGCUAACGUCCCGGCUCGCGAGGGAAACAACCCAGAUCGUCGGCUAAGGUCCCAAAAUUGUGUUAAGUCAGAAAGGUUGUGAGAUUUCAUAAACAACUAGGAGGUUGGCUUAGAAGCAGCCACCCUUUAAAGAGUGCGUAAUAGCUCACUUGUCAGAGAUCUUGCGCCGACAUGUAACGGGAGUUAAACACAAUACCGAAGCCACGGGUACGAAAGUACGUUAGAGGAGCGUUCUUAGGGCAACGAAGUCAGACCGUAAGGACUGGUGGAGCGCUAAGAAGUGAGAAUGCCGGUAUGAGUAACGAUUCGUAGUGAGAAUCUACGACGCCUAUUGGGGAAGGUUUCCUGGGCAAGGUUCGUCCACCCAGGGUUAGUCAGGACCUAAGGCGAGGCAGACAUGCGUAGUCGAUGGACAACAGGUUAAUAUUCCUGUACUUUCUUUAAAUGUGAUGGAGUGACGGAGAAGGAUAGCCCUACCUCUUAUCGGAUUGGGGGGCAAGCAAUAACUGGGAACUGUAGGCAAAUCCGCAGUUCUUAACCGGGAGUUGUGAUGCAUAGCGCAAGCGAAUUGGUUGAUUCCAUACUUCCUAGAAAAGCUUCUAAACUUAAUUUUAUUGAAACCUGUACCGAGAACGGACACACGUCCCCAAGAUGAGUAUUCUAAGGCGAGCGAGAAAACUAGUGUUAAGGAACUCUGCAAAAUGACCCCGUAAGUUCGCAAGAAGGGGUGCCCAAGGUAACACUUGGGCCACAGAAAAUUAUGAGGGGCAACUGUUUAUCAAAAACACAGCUCUCUGCUAAACCGCAAGGUGAUGUAUAGGGGGUGAAGCCUGCCCAGUGCCUGAAGGUUAAGUGGAUUUGUUAGCUUCGGCGAAGCAUUGAAAUGAAGCCCAGGUGAACGGCGGCCGUAACUAUAACGGUCCUAAGGUAGCGAAAUUCCUUGUCGGCUAAAUACUGACCCGCACGAAAGGCGCAAUGAUCUCUCAACUGUCUCAACACUAGACUCGGUGAAAUUAUGGUCCCAGUGAAAACGCUGGGUUCCCGCAUCAAGACGAAAAGACCCCAUGGAGCUUUACUAUAGUUUCGUAUUGAAAUUUGGUCUAACAUGUGUAGGAUAGGUGGGAGACGUUGAUCUCAAGAUGCUAGUCUUGAGGGAGUUGCCUUGUACACACCGCCCUUGUUAUAUUGAGUUUCUACCUGCCAUCAUAAUCAGGUGGGGGGACAGUGCGUGACGGGUAGUUUGACUGGGGCGGUCGCCUCCUAAAGAGUAACGGAGGCGUUCAAAGGUACACUCAAUACGGUCAGAAACCGUAUGCAGAGCGCAAAGGUAGAAGUGUGCUUGACUGUGAGACUUACAAGUCGAGCAGGUGCGAAAGCAGGACUUAGUGAUCCGGCUGUACAUUGUGGAAUGGCAGUCGCUCAACGGAUAAAAGUUACCCUGGGGAUAACAGGCUUAUCUGCCCAAGAA
rnacentral:rRNA from 1 species